rnacentral:lncRNA from 1 species
CUUCGAAGGAGCAACCAGAGAGAAGCAGAAACCCACAUUUUCAUAAAUAGCCCAGCUGUGUCAAAAUGUGCUAGAAACCCACCUUAAACGUGAGUGUUGCUUUUUACAAUGUAAACUGAAAGUUUUAGUGCCUUUCUUUUUCCUCUCCUGAUAUGGACCUGCAAUGGCAGAAAGAGUGUGGUUUUGAGAAUGCAAGCAAAUCUCCUUUUUGAUGACACCGACUUUGUCAGUUUUCUCAUUGGAAAAUGGGGCAGUGGCUGAGAGCUGUCCCUGAAAGAACUGAUUUCCACACGUUCAGAAACUGAUGCCAAGAAGAGGUUCACACUAUACCCACGAUUUGGAACGUCAGCUGGGAGCUUCCCACACCAGCAUCUCAUUUCAUUUUCAAGAGUGUCAUUGAGUUCCCGCGUGCCCACCACAGCACCGAUUCCUCUAGCCCUUUCCAGACAAGCUCUUCAGCACUCUUCAGUGUCUUCCCACCAUCAACAGUGCUGUUGGGAGCUCCCCUAGUGGACUGUUGCCCAUAUAAAGCCCUUCAAGGCGCUGUUAUAUCAAAGGAUUUGUGUGGACAAGCUUCAGGGAUGCAUCUGGGACAAGGCUUUUGCUGGACCUCUCGGUCCUGGGGCCUAGAGUCAGUCACGACAAAGAAGAAAGCCUGCAACAAUUGGGAAAGUCUUUGCAGGGGAGUAAGAAGGGACAGUGCUAGCCUUCCCACUGCAUUGCAAGCUCUCCUCUACAUGGGACCAGAUCAGGGCCAGGCUGUCUUCAUUGUGACGGGUGGAUUUCAGAAUUUGUAGAAUUGUGGACCUGGGAAUCUCAGGAGAGAAGCAGGUGCCAAAGGCAUUUCUAUCAUUGCAAAGCUGAUCACGUCUAUAAUUUUCCACAGCAUCUCUCUAUGAGAUCAGGUACAAGGAGAUUUCACAGUCUGGGAGGAACCUGCCGGAAAUGCAGCCCCGUGGCUUCCUGUUCUCUUCAUGGGAAGGCAUUGUCAUCAUAGCUUCCAUUUUUGCCUCUGCUCUUGUUAUUAUAUAUUCAAAGUAUUAUACCAACAUCCCUGAUGUGU